AGCAAGAUUAAAAACAUAAUGCUUUAUCUCAAUGUCUACAUGUAAACCUAAUUCAGUAACUUUCUGUUUACUUUUUCUGGAUAACUGUAUAAACCUGCUCAGCAGUUUCAAAAGACAUUGAAAAACCACAAACCCCUGGGUUUUUUUUAUUUUUUAAUUUAAUCUCCCAGCAAAGCCUGAGAAGACAUUAGAGCUCCUGACAAAAACUAAGCAGUCCAUUUUUCCACGUUCAAGAGACAUACCAGUAGCGCACUGAAACUCCAUUUCACUCAGGUCAAAAAAAAUAUAUUGGCUCCAGUUCUCCACUAACUAGGAUCUCGGCCUGAACACACUGGAGCUUGGAUGUUACGGGAUUCCCGGUUGGGAGCCCCUAAUAUGUGGCUUGAUGGUCCUGAGGUAAGUUUUGCACAAGUAGUGCCCUGGCUGAGAAGCCCAGUCUAUUUUCCCAUUCAAUUCUCUCAUCUGGGAUGGUGAGAAUACUUAAAUAUCCAAACAGAGAAUACUUACGGUUGCCUGCCUGUCAGCACAAUCUUUUUACGCCUGCCUCCAAAACUGUAAACAUAGGAAUCAAACAUCUGUUGUAUUUUCAGGAGGAGAAGGGAUUACAGUGAGGUUCAAUUACUAACAUCUUAUAUAUUUCUGGCUUGUUUUUUUUUUUUUUUUUUUAAUUGCUAAGAGGUUUAACACAAUGAUCUUACACACAAUAUAAAAGAACUCAAAUUUAAAUAGGCUUACAGUUAUUUUCACUAUAUAUUAAUAAUUUGGAUAACACAUGCCUUACUCUUUCAUGAGCUGCCAGGGUAAAAAAAUCCCGUCUCGCCCAGCAUACUUCUCUCCGCCUGGCUUCACACCAGUGAACAAGAAAAGAAUGCUUCCCCAGUCUCCAAGCUUCGUCUAAAGCCACCCCGUGAUUUUGCCAUGUCUGCAAGUGGUCCCAUCUAUCAAGGUUUAAGACAGAUGUUUUCGGUGCUGCGGCUGUUAGAGAAAACAAAUCUUUCUGUAUCACUGUCUGACUUCUGAAAGAUGAGAAAAAUAAAUUAAUUUCCCUGUGUGCUUGGGAUUCACUGCCUUUCCUCCUGAUGAAAUUCACAGGAUACAGAUUUCCCUCCAGUGACGUAAGGAGAAUCUUUCUGAUCUUUCUGUGUGCUCCAGCCAGACUACAUCACUUUAAUUUUUAUUUUGGGUGGGGGGCUUUUGCAAACCUGCCAGAAGUUUUGCCCAGUAACUGCAACUGGUUAAUUGCCAUAAGCAUGGGAAGAUCUCAAGAGAAAAGAUGAGGUAAACGCUUUUCUACCCUCAGCGGCACCAUGGCUCUUCCUUUGGUCUAAACGUCUCUCCACCUUACACUGCCAUCAUCUGACAGAGGAUCUAGAGAGAAUAAAAACACUGCUAAACGAAAAGUUGUUUAUGUGACAAGAGAAAGAAAACGGCCUCAGAGGAACAUUAGCGCUUUCUGAUGCUGCCACUGCAAGACACCAUAGGACAGUGUGCACAGCACAGUGCAGGGCAAUAAGAACCAGAAAAUGUUGGGCAAGAAGGAACCUCUUGACAGUGUAUGUACAUUUUAAUAUUUGUUGGAGGAGGGGAAGGAUUCAGAAACUAUUUCCUUCAGCUGGUGCUGUAUUUCUUACAAAACAAAACCCCCACAAACUCAGUAAGAAAGCAGCAUGUCAGAAAACCUAAGCCAUCAAGUAGUUGUUAAGUCAUUUAACAUCUUUAAAAUAUUUUUCCCCUCCAGGUCACAUAAUACAAAGAGAUACCACCCUCCAACCCUACCAUGGAUUCUUUUACUGUAAAAUAAACUUGGAUUUGUGUCUAACAAUCAAUCUUGGAAAUUAAAGUCCAUAUACAUGCGAGAGAGGACUGUACACCUCCCCAUCAAUAUGCCAUACAACGGAAAGGAAAAGCCAUGCUGUGGGGAUGAUUUUCAAUACACGUUGAAGGCUUCCAGCACUUCUUACAACCAGUUAUCGUACCAUACAUAUCCAUCAUACCCUUAUGCAAGGUACCACUCAGCCUCGCUGCAUCCGUCAAAGGGAUCUUUGUUGCAAAAUUCAGAUCUUAUUAAUUCCUGCACAGCACAAGAAGACAUGGAUAUCUCUUUUCAGUGGAGAUAUAAUUAAAAGACACAUAAUUACUGUUAGAAAAUAUUUCAAGGAAACAUUAGUGUUUCAGUAGGUGAUGUUUGUUUAUAGGUAAUAUUCUGAGCAGUCUUCUAGGCUCCCCUAAGAUUAAAUCAAAACAGUUCACCAGUAAAAAGAUGCCUCCAUUUUUCAGCUGAGCAUCUGAUAUCUUUGCAAUUUCACACAACACUGAAAAAUUUUUUGUUAAUGCUUUAAACCUAAUUAUAGGUUUGAAUAUAGUUUCUAUGCAUUGAGGUCAGUACAAACCUGAUAAAAUCCUCACUAAAGGGAAGAACAUCUGAUUAAGUCAUAUUGAACUCACUUAUUAGAUGAACGGGAGGCAUUGCAAAGUGUUCACUCAGAAAGAAAUAUUUUAUUUCUGUAGAUUUUCUUGUGGAAAGUUUUUUGCUCUUACAUCUUUAUCAACAAACCUCUCUGGAUAUGCUAGAACAGCUCUUUGAGUGGAAACACAUUUUCUAGAAUGAGUUACUUUUUCAUUUAUUCCAACAGAAAAAGAACUAUCUUCUUCUAGAAUAUAAGGAUUAACAUGAACAGCCACAGCUGCCAAAAUUCAUACCUACUCUAACACCAGUAUUAUUCCAAAUGGAGAAGUACUACAUUUCUUUCCUAAUGCAUUUCUUUUGUAACACUUGGAGGAGACAGUUGAUAAAGAGCAAGCUUGGCAACCUACAGUUGUGUGGUACCUUUUGCAGGAAUACAUCCACUAGCCCCAGCAUCACGGCUACACUGUUUGCACAAUAACUUUCUGCCUAUCCCAAUUCCUAUUUCAAUUACAACUGUAUGAGAGAGAUUCUUAGUGUUUUCUCUACUGUUAAACAGCUGCUGCAUUUCAGUGUUGGUGAAAUAGUUUUCAGUUUUUUUAAUGAAAGUGCUUUGGGAUGUCUCUAGCUGAAAGAUGGCAUAGAAAUGCAAAUUAUACUUAGUCAUAUAACUCGGAAUUACCUUUGCAUUUUAUUUUUGACCUGUAUCUGUUUAUAAAGCAAUCCUGAAAAACAGUUACAUUAUCCCUUACAUUAUUGGGAAAACAAGAGAUAGGACUGCCAGCUCUUACAUGAAUGUUGUAAUCCAAUGAACGUUCACGCUGAAAAGUAUCUCCUUUAGUGAAUUUUUUGACAAAACAAUCUAAUUUCAUUUAUAAACUUAGAUAAUAA